AGGGACCAGUCAUGAAAGCUGGUCAUUCAUUGUACCAUUCAUCAUUGGACUGGUUUGUGGAAUUUCGCUAAUUGUUCUUGUGCUUCUGCUGGUGAAGUGCUACAGAAAGGAUGCAUGCAGUAACAGUCUCUCUCAGUCUCUGAACAUCAACCAAGGCUCUGCUACACAGCAAACAGUGAACCAGAAUGAAACUCAAGUUUACUCCUCUCUUCUCCAUGGUCAGCCUUUCCAAUCAUUCUUUUCACAACUAUUUCUAACACCCACUUUGACUUUUCAAUCAAAAGCUCAAGUGA